UACGUAGGGCGCAAGCGUUAUCCGGAAUUAUUGGGCGUAAAGAGCUCGUAGGCGGUUUGUCGCGUCUGCCGUGAAAGUCCGGGGCUCAACUCCGGAUCUGCGGUGGGUACGGGCAGACUAGAGUGAUGUAGGGGAGACUGGAAUUCCUGGUGUAGCGGUGAAAUGCGCAGAUAUCAGGAGGAACACCGAUGGCGAAGGCAGGUCUCUGGGCAUUAACUGACGCUGAGGAGUGAAAGCAUGGGGAGCGAACAGG
rnacentral:rRNA from 1 species